CUGGAACUCUUCAGAAGCAUUGGUGCUUCUCCCAUUACACUGGUGCUUUGUUGGUCAAGAUGUCUGUCAUCAAUAGUCAGAUGAUCAAUGGAACAGAAUGUUCUUUGUGCAGCAAAAGAGCUUAAGGAUAGUAAGGGAGCAUAAGGGGCUCCAUGUUGUGUGUGAAUGUCAAUGCAUUUGUCUAUAUCUCACUUUGGAGCGGAUAAGUAAUAUGGUUCAUGAAUUGGUGGGGGGAGGCUUGAAUAUGAACCAACAACAACAUAGCCUUUUAAUCAAAGGUGCAGAAAUUGGGAAUGCUUCAGAAGCAGCUCCUCGCUUAAUAUUCUUUGGGGGGAAGACACCUUGAGGGGGGGAUAUGGUAUGAGUUAUUGACAAGGGGUAGUUCAGUAAAAUGAGGAGGGAACUCCUCAGAUGUUUGCGGGGAUCUGCACCCCUGCCUUUAAUCUCUAUUCUGUUAGGAAAUUUUUCACACCGGCUUUUAGUUCGCAUCUCUUCCAGAAUGGAAGUGUGCAUUCAUUUAUUGGCCAAAUAUACCCUGAAGUCCCUGUGAGCUAUUGGGGACCACUUUAUACACAAUUUGGGUUUUUCAGUGUGCAUUAAGAGUGUAGCCUGAUUUAUAUCUGGGGUUAAAAAAAAUCCACUUUUUGCAUGUUUUUUUUGGAGGGGGGGCAACUCGCAGUAAAGCCUUGCAGUAAAGCCAGCUGUCAGGGAAAGCGCCAGGCUUUGUUUUAAAUAUGCAAGGGAUUCCCUGAGACCCUGUAUUUUAGCAGGGGGUGGUGCUGUGGAAAGUCAGGAACAAGUCAACUCAGUUACUAAAUUACUUAGCAUUUGUUCAAGGCUCCCACUAGCAUGUCACACUAGAAUUCAGUACCCUCCACGAUUACCUGAUCUCAUUCAUGUCUACAGUUUGCCCCUGCCCUGAGCAACAAGUCUAGCUUUCAUGCAGUCUUAGCUGAAAUGGGCAGACAGCUUUUCCCUGGCUUUGUUCUAUCUCUCUCUCAAGUGGGAAUACUGCAAGGGAGGAGGAGAAGGCAGGCAAAGACAAGAUCUGGAGACAGCUCAUGGAUGAUGGCACAUGGAUGAGUGCUGGGUGGGGCACCCAUAUUUCCAUUGGCCAGCAUCCGAGCAUGGAUUUUCUUGGGUCGGAGAAUGGGAAAGGGGACCAAAAAGAGCCUGAGGCUCUUUCUCUCAAGCCUGGAACUCUCAACAGCUGAAAACAGCAAUGCUUGUCCACAAUUCUGCCUGUGCUGGGAGAGCCUAAGUGAUCUCAGUGUUAUCUUCUGAUUCAGUUUUACUGAGGUAAGGGUGUGGGGCCUGGGGAAAAUCUGUCAGUGCAGGGUCCCCUUGCAGUUAAUCUUAACGGUAGCAACAAGAGCAGGACCCAGGCAGUUGCCCUGCCCUACGGACAGCACUGAGUGCCAGGCAGAGGGCAGAGAAGUGGCCCUGUGUGGUGGGACCAUGAGAGAUGAGCGGGAAAGGCCGAGAAGGGCCCAGGACUGAGGCCCUUCCUUGGGCGCCCUGCUCUUUCUUCCCACCCACCCCUGCUCCCCUCAUGACUAAGCCACAUGUUAGGUCUUCCAUCUGAAAGCCUUGGGGAGAGGCGGGGGGGGGAUCCCCAAACCAGUGUUUUGUGAAUUGUGACCAAGAGCAAAGACAUAAGGCAGCUUCCUUCCUCCUCCUCCUCCUCUCCCUGUCCAGUAAAAGAACAGGAGCAUUACCGGAGCACUGGCUUCUCUUCCUAGCCGCCAGCAUGUGAUUUCCAUUGACAGGCAGAGCAGGUUAGGGGGGUUAAUUUGCUUUCAUAAUCCACGGCCAUCUCGGCUCAUCAGCACCUCCAAAGAUGCUGAUGGUGUUAAUAAGGAGGCAGGAAGAAUUGGCAGCAGGGAUAUAAGUGUUAUCCAUCCCUCUCCCCGUCUCCUCCCCUCCCCCUCCCUGUGUCUUUCAGCAUCUGUGCAUAUAUGUAAUUUUCUCCAGUAUGUCCAAUAAACCUAAUUUCUUCCCCAAAGAUUUAGGUGGCGUUAUCCGUGAUUAUAUAUCCAUGAGAGGUAAUUCCUGCUUAACUUGGUAUCCAAUUGAACCCUGACGGGAACUCUCCCAGCCAGCAGCUCCAGCUCUUUAAGGCACAGGAGCAAAUCGGAUUACUUGUGCUGGCAUGGAGGAGCCGUCUGAGCAAGACGCACCCCUUGGAGGGCUUGCAUGCUUGCCUCAGCACUUUUUAGAUUCAGCAGCAAGAGGCUGCUUCCACGCAUUCUUUCGCUGUGAUAGGUAGUGGCGAUGUUAUUUCAUAAUUGCUUAAUAGUUGUGUUCAGCAGCCUUCCUACUAUAAUAUUCUUGGCUAUUCUCUCAUAUCCUUCUUAGCAAAUAAAUGCCUCAAGUCCCAUACUAACCACACUCUCGUAGGGGCAGGAAGACGACUUGCAGCAGGCUUUCAACGUAGCCAUAGGAUGGAUAGGAGGCUAGGAAACAGCACCUCUCUCCUUUUUGGUUUAAAGGGACAUAGAAGAAGUCAGAGUGGCAAACAAAAGGAGGCUUAUCUCACACACAUAACUCACACUGCAUCCAGCAGCCAUUACUCGAUGACAUUCUGACUGCAGAAGGAGCCCUGAGUUGAAGUGCCAGUGCUGCUGUUUUCAGGCUCUGGGCGGUGUGUGAUCUAUAGGUGGAAAACAGAAUGGAAAACAGGCACUAUACUGGACCUGUACAGAAACCGCUGGAAAGACUGCACUCCCUGAAGUGUUAGACUGUGAGAGACAUCUGGCCAUCACUUCCCAAGCCCACUUCACCCUGUAUAAUGCCUGGCCCACAUGUGCACUCCCAUGAGAGAGAAACAGAGAUCCUUGUGAGACUCCUGACCCCAAAUUUCAUGAGACAUUCCUUCAUCUCUGCUCUCAGGCCCCUCUGCGCUCCCAUCACUCCACCCCACGAGACAGAUCGCACUUCAAUAGAAUCCAUUAUGUCUCUUUUCUUUGGCUUGCUUUUCAAUGGAUGACAGUUUGGCCUGGGAAGCUCAGCCCCACCACAGCUAAAGGGGAGUGCUGCCUGCCUGGUGCAGGAAAGAAUUAAUGCUAAGUGACUGUGCCUUUGUGAGUCCAAGGACUCAGAGCUGAUCGAGAAUGCAUGGGAACGACUGCAGAUUACAACAGGGUGCAAGCAAAAGAAAAUAAAACGCCUCAAAACAAACAUCGACUUUAAAUCAGUGUUAACCAGACAGGCAGCCCCUCUAAAGCAAGUUUGGAAACAGGGGCCCCAACACUGACUCUUUGUUAAUUUUAUGAAAGCCCUGUCAGUAAUGGACAAAGACACAUUUGCAAGGGAUGUUGCCAUGUGUCAGGUGCAGCAGCUAAGAAGGGGAAUGCAAGGGAAGUGAAGAAAAUGUAAUCUCCAUAGAGAAGCAACAUUACAUUAGCACACCCAUUCCUUAGGUGCUUCCUGUUAAGAUACCAUUCUAUGGUCACACUCCUCUAGUGUAAGACAAUCCAUUCCCAUCCUUUUGUUAGCAGCCUUUGCAGAUAUUUAGACCUCAAGAAUCCAGAUGCCUUAAACCACAUGGAAGCUGAUAAACAAGCCAACUGAACUACCAAGAAGACCACAUUCCUCUUCUACAGGAGGGGCAGGCAGCAGCCACUAGGGACAGAAUGCAUGAAAACAAGCUCCCUGGACUGGCUGCUUCUUCCCUUCUGCUCAGGAGAUACGACACAAGAAAGGGCUACUCUGUGUCCCUUUGGGGGUACUGCAGUCUUCAUCACAAAAGCUCCAAUUACUUUUAUUUGUUCUGUUUUUGAACUGGACAUCACCUGCUGUUCAAGGCUUAAUGAACAACAGCAACACUCCAAGAAUGGCAGUUAAUGGCUUGGGAAUCAGUAAGUGAUGCUCCUUAAUAAUCAUUUAAUAUCUCUCAAUCACCACUCAAAAUGGAGCUUUUCACAAGGUGGCAAAGAUGAUAAAACAAUAAUUUUAUUUUCAAACAUUUUGAAAGUAAUACAACAUACAGAAUUAACCCAACUUAAGAUUUGUCCUGAGUCCAUUGCUGUUAAAUACUGGGCACAAUCCAUUCAAAGUUAAGCACUUUUAAGUCUCAUCAGUUUCCGUGUGCUUUACUCUCACAUUGAAAUUCAUGGGACUUAAAACACCUAACCAUGACUGGAUGGCUCCUAUUUCUGUUCUAAUGAUUUUGAUGGUGUUGCAGAGGGCAAGGAAGGAUGGGAAAUGGAGCAAGGGAAAGUCAGAGGGCAACACAGACCUACACAAGACAGAUCUAGAAUAAUUCAGGAAAGGAUUUCUUACAAAAAUGGGCCCUGAGGAGGAAAAAAAGGAGAAGUAGCUUCAGAAAUAAGGAGAGGUAGAGGAAACAGCACAGCUGUUGGGAGUGGAAGCAGAGAAUAAAAGCUGUGAAGAAGGUAUGGGUUGUGGGGGAAUGAGAAGUGAUGAAAAGAAAAAUGAAGAAGCAGAUAUGUCAGGAGGUAAGAAGUAGAAAACUUUGAGUGCUAAGAACUAAGAAAAUGAAGUUGAUGUGUUUUUCCUUCUCUUUGAGUGGCUCUUACAUAUGGCUGCACAAUGGCCAGGUAACUCCAAACAUAAGCAAUGAAAUCUUUUCCCAGGAAGGUAGACCAAUGAGGCAGCAUCUUCUUGCUGGGGUUCUUAGCUUACACUCUCUUCUCUGCACCUCCCAGUAACCAAGAGUCCACCUCCAAGUCCUAAAAAGAUUAUGUGCUUUACAGUUUACAGCUUACACCCCGAUCUAUGCCCACAGAGAGAACUCUUCAUCUGCUCCUGCCUCACAGCUACUGGAGGAAUCUUGUGUUGAUUUCCUGGUUGGUCUCCCAAAAACAUUAAGUUCAUUCUUCCCAAUCUCUUCCCAAAGUCCAACACUGACCCUUAUUUGCUAUUCCUGUUUUUGACAAUACACAAAAAAAUUCCUGUUUUUGACAUGCAUCUCACCAUGCCCUCAGUGCAGUAAAGAAGUUUGGAGAAAGGCAGAUCUAUGGAACAGCUAUCACUCCAUUUCCUGUCAACUUCCUGAGAACAAGACAAACUCCCCCAUACAGCUUACCACAAACCACAUCACUUUCCACUGCACUCACUGCUCAGUGAUGAUGUGUUCUCAUACGAUCCCUUCAUUGAUGAGAGAAUUCUAAAAUACAUAGGGAGAUAUAGCCUUUUACCCCCAAGCUCCUAUAGCUGUAGGAAAGAGAUUUGCAUGAGAUGCCACCUGAGGGUACACAAUAUGAGGAGGGGCUGUUGCUCCAAACACCUGCUUUGUAUGCAAAAGGUACCAGGUUCAGUUCCUUACAUACAUUUCCAGAUAGGGGGCUGGGGAAGAUAUCUUUCUGGAGAGCUUCUGCCUGUCUGUGUAGACAAUACUCAUUUAGAUCAGGCCUGCUCAAAUUUGCCCCCCCCCCAGCUGUUUUUGAACUACUGCUCCCAUAAUCUUCAGCCACAGUGGCCAAUAGCCAGGGAUUAUGGGCAUUGUAGGCCAACAUUUACAGGAGGGCUGAAAUUGAGCAGCCUUGAUUUAGAUGGACCAAUGGCCUGACUCAGUAGAAGGCAGUUUCAAUUGUUCAACUCCUUAAAGUCAACAUAGGGAGUUUGUCUAUUUCACUUAUCCCUCUGAUGUAGGUAGGUGGAUGUAGCCACACUCCGGCCUCAACCUUUAUCAUGCCUGUUUCCCAGCGUAUUUGAGACACAGCGAGACACUUGGAGGGCUGCUCUUAGCUAUUUGGACUGCACCAGCUCCAAGGGGGCAAAAUUGGAGGGGCGCCCUGUUUGGGCACCAUUGGAGUUGUGCCAAUGUCUUGGCCUCAAAUAAUUUCAGUGCUGCAGGUACAUACUCUAGCCCAUAGGAAUUUUAGAAUGGCGGUGGAGCUCCUUUGAGCAAGGAGGGCAACAUCUACCUGGGAAUAAGACUCAGUGAUUCCGACUGCUGACUCUUACUAAUAGAUAUUAGUUAGUAGGAACCAGUAGAGCUGCCCCAUCCCAGCAAGAAUAGGCAACUCCUUUAAGGUAGGCCAGUUUUCAUGCUGACAUGGAGUUCACACCAGCAGAGUAAUGUCAUCAGACUGCAGCAGUGUGGCUGCCACGGAUUGGGGACAAGCACAGCGUUUGGCUCCAACAUAUAGGUGUAACCCCUGCUCCUUAAGGAUUAAAACAUUAGGUGAUAUCGGCUUGUCCAGUAGGGGGCCUCAAGUUGAAUAGGGACUACCACAUAUGGCAAAAAAGGUGCACUCCUCAGAGGCCUACAGAAGAAGGUCCCUACCUAGAGAGCUCCUGUGGGCUGGUUGUUUGCUAAGCCUAUAUGUAUUUAAUUCAGGGAUAAAGAUACCUGGUUGCUGUUUAAGUAAAUGUAUACAUUUAAUAAUUAUGUGUAAUUAAUAUCUAUAAUAAAUGUGUAAUACUGUGGUGUAUGGAAAUAUCCCAAGAGGAUCCAGAGGCCUGAAGAAGAAGGCCCUUAACUAGAGAGCUCCUGUGAGCUGGUUGUUUGCUAAGUCUAUAUUGACUACUUUCAGACUUCAAGAAGAGGGGACAGCAACAACAGACUGUAUCUCAACACCACAGCCAAGAAAGAGCUCUCAAACGAGUCAGGAACAACAACAAAAAGCCUUGGUUUGGGAUACAAGAGUCUGUGCUAAUCUCUGUAACUUAUUUUGCAAAUUCUAUUGUUUGUGUUAAGAAGAUAAACUUUAAA